rnacentral:tRNA from 1 species
GCUAACGUAGCUUAAAUUAAAGCAUGACACUGAAGAUGUCAGGACGAACCAUAAAAAGUUCCGCCGGCA